AAUCAGGCUGGGUAAUAAUGGUUGAAGUGCUUUUCCUAUUUUCUCCACCAGGAGACUCUGUUUCUAUACACACAUUUAGAAAGAAGCUUCAUCUCAACUGACUGCUCUAAAGAUGUGCACUAGAGUGAACAGGGUGAUGUGGCGACAUGCAAAAGACACUCAUAUCACUGCUCCACCCAGGCAUCAUCAUUAUCUUCAUCAUCAUCUUCACCAUCAUGAACAGAAUUCUUCUCUACCUGGUCAGUCGUUUAGCAGCAAGAUUCAUCAGUCCCCUGUAGCACUAAUAGAGGCACCUACGGAUGGAAAUUAGCCCUUGGCUAUAAUCCGGCAUUUUUACAUGCAUGUACUCCAUGUUUUGUUCAUUAACAUGCACUGUCCCAAUCAAAUAAAA